rnacentral:ncRNA from 20 species
AGCUCUUCCGAGGGGAGCACCAGACGGUGCUGAGAUGGUGGUGAACCGGACCCUUGAACCUGAUCCGGGUCAUGCCGGCGUAGGAACGGAACUGUCGUGCGCU